rnacentral:rRNA from 1 species
UACGUAGGGUCCGAGCGUUGUCCGGAAUUACUGGGCGUAAAGAGCUCGUAGGUGGUUUGUCGCGUUGUUCGUGAAAACUCACAGCUCAACUCCGGGCCUGCAGCCGAUACGGGCAGACUAGAGUUCGGCAGGGGAGACUGGAAUUCCUGGUGUAGCGGUGAAAUGCGCAGAUAUCAGGAGGAACACCGGUGGCGAAGGCGGCCGACUGGGCCGACCCUGACGCUGAGGCGCGAAGGCGUGGGGAGCGAACGGG